rnacentral:rRNA from 1 species
GACGAACGCUGGCGGCGUGCCUAAUACAUGCAAGUAGAACGCUGAAGAGAGGAGCUUGCUCUUCUUGGAUGAGUUGCGAACGGGUGAGUAACGCGUAGGUAACCUGCCUGGUAGCGGGGGAUAACUAUUGGAAACGAUAGCUAAUACCGCAUAACAACAGUUGUUGCAUGACAGCUGUUUAAAAGAUGCAAUUGCAUCACUACCAGAUGGACCUGCGUUGUAUUAGCUAGUUGGUGAGGUAACGGCUCACCAAGGCGACGAUACAUAGCCGACCUGAGAGGGUGAUCGGCCACACUGGGACUGGGACACGGCCCAGACUCCUACGGGAGGCAGCAGUAGGGAAUCUUCGGCAAUGGGGGGAACCCUGACCGAGCAACGCCGCGUGAGUGAAGAAGGUUUUCGGAUCGUAAAGCUCUGUUGUAAGAGAAGAACGGGUGUGAGAGUGGAAAGUUCACACUGUGACGGUAUCUUACCAGAAAGGGACGGCUAACUACGUG